rnacentral:piRNA from 1 species
UGUGAACAGCUGGAAGAAUGAACUCAAA